rnacentral:rRNA from 1 species
UACGUAGGGGGCAAGCGUUGUCCGGAAUUAUUGGGCGUAAAGAGCGCGUAGGCGGUCCGAUAAGUCGGCUGUGAAAGUCAAGGGCUCAACCCUUGAAAGCCGGCCGAUACUGUCGGACUAGAGUCCGGAAGAGGCGAGUGGAAUUCCUGGUGUAGCGGUGGAAUGCGCAGAUAUCAGGAGGAACACCAAUAGCGAAGGCAGCUCGCUGGGACGGUAUUGACGCUAAGGCGCGAAAGCGUGGGGAGCAAACAGG